CCUGGCUCAGAUCGAACGCUGGCGGCAUGCUUUACACAUGCAAGUCGGACGGCAGCACAGAGAAGCUUGCUUCUUGGGUGGUGAGUGGCGAACGGGUGAGUAACAUAUCGGAACGUACCGAGCAGUGGGGGAUAACUAAUCGAAAGAUUAGCUAAUACCGCAUAGAUUCCGAGGAAGAAAGCAGGGGACCAUAAGGCCUUGCGCUGUUUGAGCGGCCGAUAUCUGAUUAGCUAGUUGGUGGGGUAAAGGCCUACCAAGGCGACGAUCAAUAGCGGGUCUGAGAGGAUGAUCCGUCACACUGGGACUGAGACACGGCCCAGACUCCUACGG
rnacentral:rRNA from 1 species